rnacentral:rRNA from 1 species
AGCGCAGGCGGACCGGUGUGUCGGAUGUGAAACCUCAGGGCUCAACCUUGGGACUGCGUCCGAAACUGCCGGUCUAGGGACUCGGAGGGGCUGGUGGAAUUCCUGGUGGAGCAGUGAAAUGCGUAGAUAUCAGGAGGAACACCGACGGCGAAGGCAGCCAGCUGGACGAGAUCCGACGCUCAGGCUCGAAAGUAUGGGGAGCAAAAAGGAUUAGAUACCCUUGUAGUCCAUACUGUAAACGUUGUUGAUUAGGUCUUGGAGCAUUCGAACGCUCCAGGGCUCAAGCUAACGCAAUAAAUCAACCGCCUGAGGACUACGGCCGCAAGGCUAAA